AUUCUGCCCAUGCGGGGAAGGAUGAGAAGCUUCGACUAAGGUUUGGCUCGAGCGUCAGCGAGAGAGCGUUGCCGCAGGCAACGACCCGAAGGGCGAAGCGCGCAGCGCUGAGUAAUCCUUCCCCCACCACCA
rnacentral:sRNA from 1 species